CUGUAACCCCGGCUCCGGCUGGAGGAACACCAACCCUUUGUUGUCCGACCGCGUUGCCUCCGGGGCGACCCUGACCUCCGGGUCUGGGGGGACCCCGGGUGGACACCUAAACUCUGCGUAACUUUGUAGUCUGAGUAAAAAUUUUUAAUAAAUUA
rnacentral:misc_RNA from 1 species